ACUCCUACGGGGGGCAGCAGUAGGGAAUCUUCCACAAUGGACGGAAGUCUGAUGGAGCAACGCCGCGUGAGCGAAGAAGGUCUUCGGAUCGUAAAGCUCUGUUGUAAGGGAAGAAUAAGUACAGUAGUAACUGGCGGUACCUGACGUAC
rnacentral:rRNA from 1 species